rnacentral:rRNA from 1 species
ACUUGAUAACUAGUUUGAGUUUUAUGAUUUAGGAGUAAUGAGAAUCUUAGGGGAGUUUAUUGUGCUGGGGCGGCAAGAAUAAAAUUUGUAACUGUUCUUCUAUAUAGAAUAGUUGUUACUAGAGGUUGACCCUGAAUUUUAGGUUAAAAGGUUAAGUU